rnacentral:rRNA from 1 species
UACGUAGGGACCAAGCGUUGUUCGGAUUUACUGGGCGUAAAGGGCGCGUAGGCGGCGUGUUAAGUCACUUGUGAAAUCUCUAAGCUUAACUUAGAACGGUCAAGUGAUACUGAUGUGCUAGAGUGCAGAAGGGGCAACCGGAAUUCUUGGUGUAGCGGUGAAAUGCGUAGAUAUCAAGAGGAACACCUGAGGUGAAGACGGGUUGCUGGGCUGACACUGACGCUGAGACGCGAAAGCUAGGGUAGCAAACGGG